GACGAACGCUGGCGGCGUGCUUAACACAUGCAAGUCGAACGGAAAGGCCCUGCUUUUGUGGGGUGCUCGAGUGGCGAACGGGUGAGUAGCACGUGAGUAACCUGCCCUUGACUUUGGGAUAACUUCAGGAAACUGGGGCUAAUACCGGAUAGGAGCUCCUGCUGCAUGGUGGGGGUUGGAAAGUUUCGGCGGUUGGGGAUGGACUCGCGGCUUAUCAGCUUGUUGAUGGGGUAGUGGCUUACCAAGGCUUUGACGGGUAGCCGGCCUGAGAGGGUGACCGGCCACAUUGGGACUGAGAUACGGCCCAGACUCCUACGGGAGGCAGCAGUGGGGAAUAUUGCACAAUGGGCGGAAGCCUGAUGCAGCAACGCCGCGUGCGGGAUGACGGCCUUCGGGUUGUAAACCGCUUUCGCCUGUGACGAAGCGUGAGUGACGGUAAUGGGUAAAGAAGCACCGGCUAACUACGUG
rnacentral:rRNA from 1 species